AACGAACGCUGGCGGCGUGCCUAACACAUGCAAGUCGGACGAGAAAGUUUCCUUCGGGAAGCGAGUAAAGUGGCGCACGGGUGAGUAACACGUAGACAACCCUGCCUUCCAGUCCGGGACAACCUUUCGAAAGAAGGGCUAAUACCGGAUAACACUUUGGGCCGCAUGGCCUGGGGUUGAAAGAUUUAUCGCUGGAAGAGGGGUCUGCGGGACAUUAGCCUAGUUGGCGGGGUAACGGCCCACCAAGGCGACGAGUCUAGCGGGUCUGAGAGGAUGAUCCGCCACACUGGAACUGAGA
rnacentral:rRNA from 1 species